rnacentral:rRNA from 1 species
GACGAAGGAUGCAAGCGUUAUCCGGAUUCACUGGGUUUAAAGGGUGCGUAGGCGGGCAGGUAAGUCCGUGGUGAAAUCUCUGAGCUUAACUCAGAAACUGCCAUGGAUACUAUUUGUCUUGAAUAUUGUGGAGGCAAGCGGAAUAUGUCAUGUAGCGGUGAAAUGCUUAGAUAUGACAUAGAACACCCAUUGCGAAGGCAGCUUGCUACACAAUGAUUGACGCUGAGGCACGAAAGCGUGGGGAUCAAACAGG